rnacentral:rRNA from 1 species
GAUGAACGCUGGCGGAGGGAGGAAUAAAGGCAAGUCGAGCGAACAGAUAAGGAGCUUGCUCCUUUGAAGUUAGCGGCGGACGGGUGAGUAAAACGUGGGUAACCUACCUAUAAGACUGGGAUAACUUCGGGAAACCGGAGCUAAUACCGGAUAACAUUUAGAACCGCAUGGUUCUAAAGUGAAAGAUGGUUUUGCUAUCACUUAUAGAUGGACCCGCGCCGUAUUAGCUAGUUGGUAAGGUAACGGCUUACCAAGGCGACGAUACGUAGCCGACCUGAGAGGGUGAUCGGCCACACUGGAACUGAGACACGGUCCAGACUCCUACGGGAGGCAGCAGUAGGGAAUCUUCCGCAAUGGGCGAAAGCCUGACGGAGCAACGCCGCGUGAGUGAUGAAGGGUUUCGGCUCGUAAAACUCUGUUUUUAGGGAAGAACAAAUGUGUAAGUAACUGUGCACAUCUUGACGGUACCUAAUCAGAAAGCCACGGCUAACUACGUG